ensembl:lncRNA
UAUGUGAUUGCUGUAGGUUGGUCUGCUUCUCUUUCUUUCUAAAUGGUGCUCUGUAAGCACUGCAAAUGCCACUAUAACGUCUCCCCGGAGCCUUCAUGUGUCCAAGUGCCAUAAGCUGGGGAGCACAAGACCAGCUGCUGAAUGGAUCCAUCUCAUAUACAGGAUAUACACUCCCAGUGAAGGACUCACUCCACCAGGAAGGGGAAAAGGUACCUCCUGGACAUACAUUUUCAGGCUCACUACUGGAGGCACCUAGGCGUGCAGCGUUGCAGAGGCCUUGCCUCUCUUGGACUUCCAGAUCCAGCAGAAUGUAUGUAGGUUGCUCCACACAUAAUGCCUUCUAUUUAUUUCCACGGAAACUACAGUGGAUACAAAGGGCACAAUAACACAGUUUGAUAGAGCAAAUUCUUAAAUACAAAACACGAUUUUUCAGCUGUGACCACCAUGAGCGUUGCAUUUUCAACAGUGAUGAAAAAGAGCCACACAUAACAGUCUGCACCAGUGGAAGUAACCCGCUGUCUCCACUGCUGAAAUGCCUACCACCCACUGCCUAACUGUGCUCACAUCCACUGGUUGGUCUCCAUCAAUGCUCAGCAGGCACACCUGUGCAAUUUUUUCUGCAUGAAGGAAUUCAGUGACACACCUUUACUUGAUCCACACUUCCACAUCAGAGGCCGUUGUGUCAGACUGCCCCUCUGCUGCCAUCUGUCACACUGCAACAAAAUGGAACAGGAUAUGGGUGGGAAGGUUCUA